CGAUUAGCAGUGGGGAAUCUUGCGCAAUGGCCUAACGGCUGACGCAGCGACGCCGCGUGAGGGAUGACGCUCUUCGGAGUGUAAACCCCUUUUGCCUGAGACGAAUUGUCAGCUUUAGCUGAUUUGACUGUAUCGGGUGAAUAAGCACCGGCUAACUCCGUGCCAGCAGCCGCGGUAAUACGGGGGGUGCGAGCGUUGUCCGGAAUCACUGGGCGUAAAGGGCGCGUCGGUGGCCUGAUAAGGGUGUGGUGAAAGUCCGGGGCUCAACCCCGGAUCUGCCGUGCCGACUGUUAGGCUAGAGUACUGUAGGGGC
rnacentral:rRNA from 1 species